rnacentral:rRNA from 1 species
GACGAACGCUGGCGGCGUGCUUAAUACAUGCAAGUCGAACGAAGAGCGAUGGAAGCUUGCUUCUAUCAAUCUUAGUGGCGAACGGGUGAGUAACGCGUAAUCAACCUGCCCUUCAGAGGGGGACAACAGUUGAAACGACUGCUAAUACCGCAUACGAACUAAUCUCGGCAUUGAGGAUAGAUUAAAGGGUGCCCCUACAUUUAAGCUAUCACUGAAGGAGGGGGUUGCGGCUGAUUAGCUAGUUGGAGGGGUAACGGCCCACCAAGGCGAUGAUCAGUAGCCGGUCUGAGAGGAUGAACGGCCACAUUGGGACUGAGACACGGCCCAGACUCCUACGGGAGGCAGCAGUGGGGAAUCUUCCGCAAUGGACGAAAGUCUGACGGAGCAACGCCGCGUGAGUGAUGACGGCCUUCGGGUUGUAAAGCUCUGUUAAUCGGGACGAAAGGCCUUCUUGCGAAUAGUGAGAAGGAUUGACGGUACCGGAAUAGAAAGCCACGGCUAACUACGUG